rnacentral:lncRNA from 1 species
CUAUUUCACAUAUACACUUAAAGAUAAUUAGAAGAUAAAGAAAAGAUAAUGUUAGGAUAAUUAUGCCAACUAAUUGACUUAAUCAAAUCCUCUUAGGCUCACAAUUAAGAGCCUAAUUAAAUUCAAAUAGAUUUAGAUUAGGUUCAAAGCCAUGGAUCUGAUCAAAUCAAAGUUGCAAAAGGAAUUAGGUUUAACCAUGUGCUAGCAUGGUUCUCAUAAACCUAAUAGGAUUUCAAUAAAUUCUAACCCAAUGGAAACUUCACAAGUCCAAUUGAC